rfam:Microdochium bolleyi strain J235TASD1 unplaced genomic scaffold Micbo1qcscaffold_3, whole genome shotgun sequence.
GCCCUCGUAGAGAAAUGGUUAACUCGCCGGAUUCCUAAUCCGGAGAUUGUCGGUUCGAGUCCGACCGGGGGUG